rnacentral:rRNA from 1 species
AUAAAAGAUUAAGUUAUUAAGGGCGCACGGUGGAUGCCUUGGCACUAGAAGCCGAUGAAGGACGUUACUAACGACGAUAUGCCGGU